UGCGCAGGCGGCUUAUUAAGUCAGUGGUGAAAUCUCUCGGCUCAACCGAGAAACUGCCAUUGAAACUGACAAGCUUGAGUGUAGUUGUAGUAGGCGGAAUAUAGCAUGUAGCGGUGAAAUGCUUAGAUAUGCUAUAGAACACCGAUCGCGAAGGCAGCUUACUAAACUAUCACUGACGCUAAUGCACGAAAGCGUGGGGAGCAAACAGGAUUAGAUACCCUGGUAGUCC
rnacentral:rRNA from 1 species